UACGAAGGGGGCUAGCGUUGCUCGGAAUUACUGGGCGUAAAGCGCACGUAGGCGGGUCGUUAAGUCGGGGGUGAAAUCCUGGAGCUCAACUCCAGAACUGCCUUCGAAACUGACGAUCUUGAGUUCGGGAGAGGUGAGGUGGAACUGCGAGUGUAGAGGUGAAAAUUCGUAGAUAUUCGGAGGAACACCAGUGGCGAAGGCGACCACCUGGACAAAGACGUGACGCUGAGGUGCGAAAGCGUGGGGAGCAAACAGGG
rnacentral:rRNA from 1 species